UACGGGGGGGGCAAGCGUUGUUCGGAAUUACUGGGCGUAAAGGGCUCGUAGGCGGCCAACUAAGUCGGACGUGAAAUCCCCAGGCUCAACCUGGGAACUGCGUCCGAUACUGGAUGGCUUGAAUCCGGGAGAGGGAUGCAGAAUUCCAGGUGUAGCGGUGAAAUGCGUAGAGAUGCGGAGGAACACCGAUGGCGAAGGCAGCCCCCUGGGCUGACACUGACGCUCAGGCACGAAAGCGUGGGGAGCAAACAGG
rnacentral:rRNA from 1 species